UCUCUCAAAAAUAAAUAAACAUUUAAAAAAGGUUUUUUUCAAAGUCCGUCAUGACCAGAGCUGAAGGGGAGAGAGGACUUUGUUCAGUGAACAUAGUUGGCACAAAAGUGAGUUUAUCAGUGGAUCUCCUCCUACUUAAUAACUACAUUUUGGGGGAGGAGAGUUAGCAGAUUGAGAUGCAAGUCUACGGUCGAAUCAUGGUGGAAUUGCGACCACAGCGGGACUACGGAUACAAGGUUCAGCAAAAAAUAGCUGUGGAACCUGCAGGCAAGACCGUUGUGUAUUUUAUUACUAGCUAUAAAUUGUGUAUUGUAAAUGUGCAUUACAUCAGCAAAAUCUACAACAUCCCUAUGGAUGUAUAUACUUGCAUUUACCUUUUUUUUGUUUGUUUUUUUGAGAGCUGGUUGUUAAGUAUUUACCUGCCUACACCACCUCCAGCUUUAGGAUUCUGUGAUUACACUUGAUUUUGUGCUAUUCUCUCAACAGAAACCAGACCGCUUUCCUCGGUCCACAUUCUGUAUAGGGGGGAAAAGACAUGGUGAAGACACCGUUUGCCUCCUUUCCUGAGGCCCCAAGCUCGGGGCUGGAGAGCGUGUACCUACCUGGAGCUCAGUGUGUCAUUGAUGACUAAGUCGAGGAGUAGGCCUAGCACUGAGGAGAUGAACCUUCUUUUCUGCUGAACCGUCUUUCUGUUCAAUGGCCAGAAGACUCUGGCAUUUUCCUGACUCAGGAAUUGGCAACACUUGUGACUCAGCAAGCCAAGCCCUCAUUUAUUUACUCUAAGGUAGCAUGUGCCAGGAAUACAUUCUAACCUUUAGAAGUUCUGUUAAUCCAGGUUCUGGCCAAAGCCACUACGUAGAAGAAUUCUCUUAUUAAGAUAAAACUCACUGAAACGUAAGAUCCAACAUAUGAACUGUCUUUAAACUUCUGACACGGACUAGAUACUUGUUUUUUUGUUCCUCAUCUGAGGGAGAUUUUCUUCUUGCCUUAUGUGACUGGAGCAGUGGGGCACAUUCCUUGCAUCAGUGCCCCAGGUCAUUGUUUCGGGGCCCCCAAGAAGCUGCGUUGGUCACCCAAGGGCCAGGGCGAGUGGGGUUGCUGCCAGGGGCGUUGCUGAGCACGUAUCAGAGAUUAGCAGGUGUCAGCCUGUGAGAUGUGUCUUUUAGUUGGUGAAUCACCCAGAAUUCAUCAAGGUAAAUGAGAGAUGAUACUUAUACUUACCUAAAGAGUAAAGAGAUUUAUUGAACAGCGGUUAGAUUGGCCAAAGACCCCUUAGGGAAGGUUCUAGAACUAGGUUUGGAAAGCAGGCAUAAAUAAGAGAUGAGGCGUCCGCUGGGACCACAACCCUAAUCACACUCCAAUCAUACUCCCUAAUCAUACUUCUUGCUGGGUAACCAAAAAAGAAAAAUGUCUAUGAUGCUUGGCCACACGCUCUGCCGAUAUAUAUGCUCUUAGCAUGUCACCCGGGAUGUACCAAGGUACACAGGAACUUUCUGGUUGUCCUUGAUCCAUGGAACCAUGACGCAUUGUACCUCCUCUUCUCUAAGCAGGAUACCCUUGGACCCCUUCUUUACUGUAGGCCCCGGGAUGAAUCUGGAAGAGAUGCUGGUUCAGUCUUGCUGCCGUUGCAUGCUCUGUUGGCUGUCCUCAGGACAGCAGCCCAGGCUCCUCCAGGGUGUUCUGGGUCAUGAUGCUUCUCCUGGCCAAUGGUGCAGAUCUCCCCCUUUUCAGCCCAUAGCUGGUCUGUAGUCCCAUGAAGCAAAAGGGUGUAAGGAACAAGGCGCCUGGGCCCUUACUCCUUCUUCCUGGGGUCUCUGCUGCCACAGCACAAAUCCUUUCAAAACUCUGACCCAUGUUGCCUUGUGUAUCACAAAGGGGUCAAUCCCUUGUUUGGGGUUUCAUUUUGAAAAGUGCCUAGUCAUUGCUUUUGGUUAGAUAACUAUCAAAUAACAUACUACGUUUUUUUGGCACUAUAGUUUUCAAACAUUUCCACAAUGAGGAGCUCAUUGUCUUAGCCCCCCUUUGAAAUAGCCAGGGCCAUUUUUAUCCCCGUCAUGGAGUUGAGCCACCGAGGCCCAAAGGGCCUGAGGUCACACAGCUGCUAAGGGGUAGGGUUGGCCUUGGUUCUAGUUUACCUUACCCCUCACUUGGUGCUCCAUGGACUGUUGUGCGGCUUCUAAUGACAAUGACAUGUGCUGCUAUUAUGAUGCACUCACCCAAGAUCCGGCAUCGUUGCUGGCAGUCAUGCUCCCUGUGAAGUUUGCAGACCCUUGUCUGAGCUCUGUCUGGGCCCCAGGCCAGGCUGUGUGAGCCAGGUGUCCUCUAAGGAGGUGAGGUACUCUCACUAAGAAUGGUCUCUGCCUGCCACUCUCACUCACUCCUGCUUGGGAAUUUUCUCCUCCCUGCUCGUCCUGGAUCUCUCAGAGGCAAGGCAGAAGCAGCUGAUGAAGUGGCCACAGUCCCCUAAGAGGAGGCCAAUGGGUGGAAUUCACAACAACCCCAGCCCUGAGGUUUGGAAGACAAACGACUUCUGUUUCAGACGAAUGGGAGUGUCAAGUUAUUCCAGCCCGAUGAGAUUACAGCUCAGAGGAUCACGAGGAAUCAAUUCCUCCAGAAGAGGAAAAAAACAGCUGGCACAGGAGCUCUGCAGGGCCUUUUGCUAAAGUGCUACAGGAUUACCUGGUUGUGUCUGUGGUUUCCAGCAUGCAGCUUUCAACUUUGACCAUCAAGAAUCAAAUGGAACAAAUGGCAAAUGGUUUCAGAUGCAAUUCUCUUGAAUUCCAGGGGGCUGUGUAGUGACAUAGAAGUAUGAUGGAUUUUGUGUUAAUAGAUCUUGGGCAUCCA